rnacentral:rRNA from 1 species
GACGAACGCUGGCGGCGUGCCUAAUACAUGCAAGUAGAACGCACAGUUUAUACCGUAGCUUGCUACACCAUAAACUGUGAGUUGCGAACGGGUGAGUAACGCGUAGGUAACCUGCCUGGUAGCGGGGGAUAACUAUUGGAAACGAUAGCUAAUACCGCAUAAUAUUGAUUAUUGCAUGAUAAUUGAUUGAAAGAUGCUAUUGCAUCACUACCAGAUGGACCUGCGUUGUAUUAGCUAGUAGGUGAGGUAACGGCUCACCUAGGCGACGAUACAUAGCCGACCUGAGAGGGUGAUCGGCCACACUGGGACUGAGACACGGCCCAGACUCCUACGGGAGGCAGCAGUAGGGAAUCUUCGGCAAUGGACGAAAGGCUGACCGAGCAACGCCGCGUGAGUGAAGAAGGUUGUCGGAUCGUAAAGCUCUGUUGUAAGAGAAGAACGGGUGUGAGAGUGGAAAGUUCACACUGUGACGGUAUCUGACCAGAAAGGGACGGCUAACUACGUG